rnacentral:misc_RNA from 1 species
GAUGAAGAACGCAGCGAAAUGCGAUAAGUAAUGUGAAUUGCAGAAUUCAGUGAAUCAUCGAAUCUUUGAACGCACAUUGCGCCCCUUGGUAUUCCGAGGGGCAUGCCUGUCCGAGCGUCAUUUCUUCCCUCGAGCGCGGCUAGCCCUACGGGGCCUGCCGUCGCCCGGUGUUGGGGCUCUACGGGUGGGGCUCGUCCCCCCCGCAGUCCCCGAAAUGUAGUGGCGGUCCAGCCGCGGCGCCCCCUGCGUAGUAGAUCCUACAUCUCGCAUCGGGUCCCGGCGAAGGCCAGCCGUCGAACCUUUUAUUUCAUGGUUUGACCUCGGAUCAGGUAGGGUUACCCGCUGAACUUAAGCAUAUCAAUAAGCGGAGGA